AUGACAAAGAAGAUGAAAGCAACAUGUGCUAAGAGGCCAGUUGUUGAUUUGAAACAUGCUUCGAAAUAUAUUUCCAAAGUGGAUAAUCGAUUUCGACGUCCUCGUCAUCGCCAUGUUUAUACAAAGUUUUUAGAGACACUGAUAAUGUUUAAGAAUAAAGAAAAAACUGUUGAUGAUGUUUGCAAAGAGGUUUAUUUACUUUUUGAAGGCCAUGAUGAUCUCAUUGAUGGGUUUAAUGAUUUUCUUCCAUAG